CCUACGGGUGGCAGCAGUGGGGAAUUUUGCGCAAUGGGGGAAACCCUAACGCAGCAACGCCGCGUGCGGGACGAAGGCCCUCGGGCUGUAAACCGCUUUCAGCAGGGAAGACAUCGACGGUACCUGCAGAAGAAGCUCCGGCUAACUACGUGCCAGCAGCCGCGGUAAUACGUAGGGGGCGAGCGUUAUCCGGAUUCAUUGGGCGUAAAGCGCGCGUAGGCGGCCGCCUAAGCGGAACCUCUAACCCCGGGGCUAAACCUCGGGCCGGGUUCCGGACGGGGCGGCUCGAGUGCGGGAGAGGAGAGCGGAAUUCCCGGUGUAGCGGUGGAAUGCGCAGAGAUCGGGAAGAACACCGAUGGCGAAGGCAGCUCUCUGGGCCGUCACUGACGCUGAGGCGCGAAAGCUGGGGGAGCGAACAGGAUUAGAUACCCCGGUAGUC
rnacentral:rRNA from 1 species